AGGAAGGAAGGAAGGAAGGAAGGAAGGAAGGAAAGGAAGGAAGGAAAGGAAGGAAGGGUCUUUAGGCUUGGUACUGCAUAUCCCAGGGGCUCUUUUAAAAUUUCCUCAGGGGGCUUAACUCCGUAUUCCUGGGGUGUGGGUGGGAGAUAGCUCAAGGCAAGGAGUAAAAUUUGUCAGCAAACCAGCAGGCCUUGCAGGAUGUCUCUUCUUCAUCCUCCACUCUUUACAGCAUGCUUUAAAAACAAAAAACAAAACCCAGAUGCAUUUCUCCUACCGAAAUGCAUCUCAAGGGCGGGUUAAAACCAAGGGAGACAAUACACCCCUUUCCGUGUGUGUGUGUGUGUGUGUAAAAGGAGACAGCCCCCCCCACCAACACCCAAGGAAACGGGGAAGAUGACUGAACACCGAAUUAAAAACAAAGGCCCAUUCCAGAACCUAUAUUGCAGCUGGACAGGAGACAGAGACAGAGAGAGAGGGAGGGAGACAAGCGUGACGUCCUGUAAUAUCGGACC